rnacentral:rRNA from 1 species
CAUAAAGUUGUUCUCAGUUCGGAUUGUAGUCUGCAACUCGACUACAUGAAGCUGGAAUCGCUAGUAAUCGUAGAUCAGCAUGCUACGGUGAAUACGUUCCCGGGUCUUGUACACACCGCCCGUCACACCACGAGAGUUUGUAACACCCGAAGCCGGUGGAGUAACCUUUUAGGAGCUAGCCGUCGAAGGUGGGACAAAUGAUUGGGGUGAAGUCGUAACAAGGUAGCCGUAUCGGAAGGUGCGGCUGGAUCACCUCCUUUCUAAGGAUAUAUUCGGAACAUCUUCUNNNNNACCUAUACGGAGUUACAAAGGACGACAUUAGACGAAUCAUCUGGAAAGAUGAAUCAAAGAAGGUAAUAAUCCUGUAGUCGAAAAUGUUGUCUCUCUUGAGUGGAUCCUGAGUACGACGGAGCACGUGAAAUUCCGUCGGAAUCUGGGAGGACCAUCUCCUAAGGCUAAAUACUCUCUAGUGACCGAUAGUGAACCAGUACCGUGAGGGAAAGGUGAAAAGCACCCCGGAAGGGGAGUGAAAUAGAACCUGAAACCGUGUGCUUACAAGUAGUCAGAGCCCGUUAAUGGGUGAUGGCGUGCCUUUUGUAGAAUGAACCGGCGAGUUACGAUUUGAUGCAAGGUUAAGCAGUAAAUGUGGAGCCGUAGCGAAAGCGAGUCUGAAUAGGGCGUUUAGUAUUUGGUCGUAGACCCGAAACCAGGUGAUCUACCCUUGGUCAGGUUGAAGUUCAGGUAACACUGAAUGGAGGACCGAACCGACUUACGUUGAAAAGUGAGCGGAUGAACUGAGGGUAGCGGAGAAAUUCCAAUCGAACCUGGAGAUAGCUGGUUCUCUCCGAAAUAGCUUUAGGGCUAGCCUCAAGUGAUGAUUAUUGGAGGUAGAGCACUGUUUGGACGAGGGGCCCCUCUCGGGUUACCGAAUUCAGACAAACUCCGAAUGCCAAUUAAUUUAACUUGGGAGUCAGAACAUGGGUGAUAAGGUCCGUGUUCGAAAGGGAAACAGCCCAGACCACCAGCUAAGGUCCCAAAAUAUAUGUUAAGUGGAAAAGGAUGUGGCGUUGCCCAGACAACUAGGAUGUUGGCUUAGAAGCAGCCAUCAUUUAAAGAGUGCGUAAUAGCUCACUAGUCGAGUGACACUGCGCCGAAAAUGUACCGGGGCUAAACAUAUUACCGAAGCUGUGGAUUGUCCUUUGGACAAUGGUAGGAGAGCGUUCUAAGGGCGUUGAAGCAUGAUCGUAAGGACAUGUGGAGCGCUUAGAAGUGAGAAUGCCGGUGUGAGUAGCGAAAGACGGGUGAGAAUCCCGUCCACCGAUUGACUAAGGUUUCCAGAGGAAGGCUCGUCCGCUCUGGGUUAGUCGGGUCCUAAGCUGAGGCCGACAGGCGUAGGCGAUGGAUAACAGGUUGAUAUUCCUGUACCACCUAUAAUCGUUUUAAUCGAUGGGGGGACGCAGUAGGAUAGGCGAAGCGUGCGAUUGGAUUGCACGUCUAAGCAGUAAGGCUGAGUAUUAGGCAAAUCCGGUACUCGUUAAGGCUGAGCUGUGAUGGGGAGAAGACAUUGAAGUCUUCGAGUCGUUGAUUUCACACUGCCGAGAAAAGCCUCUAGAUAGAAAAUAGGUGCCCGUACCGCAAACCGACACAGGUAGUCAAGAUGAGAAUUCUAAGGUGAGCGAGCGAACUCUCGUUAAGGAACUCGGCAAAAUGACCCCGUAACUUCGGGAGAAGGGGUGCUCUUUAGGGUUAACGCCCAGAAGAGCCGCAGUGAAUAGGCCCAAGCGACUGUUUAUCAAAAACACAGGUCUCUGCUAAACCGUAAGGUGAUGUAUAGGGGCUGACGCCUGCCCGGUGCUGGAAGGUUAAGAGGAGUGGUUAGCUUCUGCGAAGCUACGAAUCGAAGCCCCAGUAAACGGCGGCCGUAACUAUAACGGUCCUAAGGUAGCGAAAUUCCUUGUCGGGUAAGUUCCGACCCGCACGAAAGGCGUAACGAUUUGGGCACUGUCUCAACGAGAGACUCGGUGAAAUCAUAGUACCUGUGAAGAUGCAGGUUACCCGCGACAGGACGGAAAGACCCCGUGGAGCUUUACUGUAGCCUGAUAUUGAAAUUCGGCACAGCUUGUACAGGAUAGGUAGGAGCCUUUGAAACGUGAGCGCUAGCUUACGUGGAGGCGCUGGUGGGAUACUACCCUAGCUGUGUUGGCUUUCUAACCCGCACCACUUAUCGUGGUGGGAGACAGUGUCAGGCGGGCAGUUUGACUGGGGCGGUCGCCUCCUAAAAGGUAACGGAGGCGCUCAAAGGUUCCCUCAGAAUGGUUGGAAAUCAUUCAUAGAGUGUAAAGGCAUAAGGGAGCUUGACUGCGAGACCUACAAGUCGAGCAGGGUCGAAAGACGGACUUAGUGAUCCGGUGGUUCCGCAUGGAAGGGCCAUCGCUCAACGGAUAAAAGCUACCCCGGGGAUAACAGGCUUAUCUCCCCCAAGAGUUCACAUCGACGGGGAGGUUUGGCACCUCGAUGUCGGCUCAUCGCAUCCUGGGGCUGUAGUCGGUCCCAAGGGUUGGGCUGUUCGCCCAUUAAAGCGGUACGCGAGCUGGGUUCAGAACGUCGUGAGACAGUUCGGUCCCUAUCCGUCGUGGGCGUAGGAAAUUUGAGAGGAGCUGUCCUUAGUACGAGAGGACCGGGAUGGACAUACCUCUGGUGUACCAGUUGUCGUGCCAACGGCAUAGCUGGGUAGCUAUGUGUGGACGGGAUAAGUGCUGAAAGCAUCUAAGCAUGAAGCCCCCCUCAAGAUGAGAUUUCCCAACUUCGGUUAUAAGAUCCCUCAAAGAUGAUGAGGUUAAUAGGUUCGAGGUGGAAGCAUGGUGACAUGUGGAGCUGACGAAUACUAAUCGAUCGAAGACUUAAUCAA